UAAUCCUGCACUAGUAUUAUCUGGAGGGAUGGGAGAAAUUCCUCCUUUAAAAAAAAAAAAUAUUUAGUCAUUUUUAAAAAAUAAUUCUAGACGUUGGGUGGGAUUUUCAAAAGUGCCCAAGUAACUUCGGAGCACACGUCUUUUUAUUGGGCACGUAUUCCUAAAUUUGGCCAACUGUGCUGACGAUACAGCAGCCCAAAAAACCUCAAAUCUUCUCAAGGGAUCUCAGAUACCUUGGCCUGUUUCUUUGCCUCAUCUACAGCCACAGGAUAGGAAUGCAGAAGUUCUUUGGACUCCAAGCUGUUCUCCUGCAACCAGCAUUUCUACCAAGCUGUUUUGUUUGUGCACCAGGCAACAGAACUACUAACCUUUGAGUGAGAGAAACUUCUGCUGAUGUCAAAUGACCAGGAGGACAUUAACAACUGAUUUUGGUGCCUGUCGGGUGCCGUUGGG